rnacentral:rRNA from 1 species
UACGUAGGUGGCUAGCGUUGUCCGGAUUUACUGGGCGUAAAGAGCGCGCAGGCGGUCGUUCAAGUCGAGUGUGAAAGCCCCCGGCUCAACUGGGGAGGGUCACUCGAUACUGAUCGACUCGAAGGCAGGAGAGGGAAGCGGAAUUCCCGGUGUAGUGGUGAAAUGCGUAGAUAUUGGGAAGAACACCGGUGGCGAAGGCGGCUCUCUGGACCGAUACUGACGCUGAGGCGCGAAAGCGUGGGGAGCAAACAGG